rnacentral:rRNA from 1 species
CCAGCCAUGCCGCGUGCAGGAAGACGCAUCUAUGGUGUGUAAACUGCUUUUGUACGGGAAGAAACACUCCCUCGUGAGGGAGCUUGACGGUACCGUAAGAAUAAGGAUCGGCUAACUCCGUGCCAGCAGCCGCGGUAAUACGGAGGAUCCAAGCGUUAUCCGGAAUCAUUGGGUUUAAAGGGUCCGUAGGCGGUUUGGUAAGUCAGUGGUGAAAGCCCAUCGCUUAACGAUGGAACGGCCAUUGAUACUGCCAGACUUGAAUUACUAGGAAGUAACUAGAAUAUGUAGUGUAGCGGUGAAAUGCUUAGAUAUUACAUGGAAUACCAAUUGCGAAGGCAGGUUACUACUAGUGGAUUGACGCUGAUGGACGAAAGCGUGGGGAGCGAACAGGAUUAGAUACCCUGGUAGUCCACGCCGUAAACGAUGGAUACUAGCUGUUCGGAGCAAUCUGAGUGGCUAAGCGAAAGUGAUAAGUA